rnacentral:rRNA from 1 species
UCCGACAGUAGAAGCAGAUCUUGAUACCAGCACGCCGCGUGAGUGAGAAGGCCUUCGGAUCGUAAAGCUCUGUUGUUGGUGAAGAAGGAUACAGGCACUAACUGGUCUUUAUUUGACGGUAAUCACCCCAAAAGUCACGGCUAACUACGUGCCAGCAUCCGCGGUAAUACCUAGGUGGCAAGCGUUGUCCGGAUUUAUUGGGCGUAAAGCGAGCGCAAGCGGAAUGAUAAGUCUGAUGUGCAAGCCCACGGCUCAACCGUGGAACUGCAUCAGAAACUGUCAUUCUUGGGUGCAGAAGAGGAGAGUGGAACUCCAUGUGUAACGGUGGAAUGCGUAAAUAUAUGGAAGAACACCAGUGGCCAAUGCGGUUCUCUGGUCUGCAACUGACACUGAAGUUCAAAAGCAUGGGUAGCGAACAGGAUUAGAUACCCUGGUAGUCCAUGCCAUAAACGAUGAGCGCUAGGUGUUGGGGACUUUCCGGUCCUCAUUGCCACAGCAAACGCAUUAAGCACUCCGCCUGGGGAGUACGACCGCAAGGUUGAAACUCAAAUGAAUUGACGGAUC